AGUAACGCGUGAGGAACCUGCCUUGGAUGGGGAAUAACAGCCAGAAAUGGCUGCUAAUACCGCAUAAUGCAGUUGGGUCGCAUGGCUCUGACUGCCAAAGAUUUAUCGCUCUAAGAUGGCCUCGCGUCUGAUUAGUUUGUUGGCGGGGUAACGGCCCACCAAGACGACGAUCAGUAGCCGGACUGAGAGGUUGGCCGGCCACAUUGGGACUGAGACACGGCCCAGACUCCUACGGGAGGCAGCAG
rnacentral:rRNA from 1 species